ensembl:lncRNA
UGGAUUGUCUUGGCACCCUUGUUGAAAACCAAUUAUCUAUAAAUAUAUGAGUUUAUUUUUGGACUUUCAAUAUAUGUCUAUCCUUAUACCAGUAGCACACUGUCUUAUGAUUAGUGUAGGUUUGUCAUAGGUUUUGAAAUUGGGAAGCCUGUGUCUUCCAACUUCGAUUUUUUUCAAAAUUGUUUUGUCUACUUUGGGUCCCUUGCAUUUCUGUAUGAAUUUAGGACCCAUUUGUCAAUUUAUGUAAAAGAGGCUGCUGAGACUUUGACAGGGAUUGUGUCGAAUCUGUAGGCCAAUCUGGGGAGUAUUGCCAUCUUAACAUUAUUUAGUCUUCUCCGGUGUUAUUCUUAAAAAACAAAACAAACCACAAACCUCAACAGUUACUUAACUCACAUAACCACAAUUACUGUUUUUCUGCAGUGUGGAUAGCUCCUAUUUCCUCCAACUACCUUUUAAAAUGGAACGCUUUGCCUUAUAUGAAGCCGGGUUGUGGCCAAAAGAGAACAUCAAAUCCUGGAUCAUCGAUUUUCUGACCUUAGAGGCCCCUUUCAGGAUGAAGCCUCAUAAUUUUCAAGCUUCUCCAGUGUUCAUCCCCCAGAGAAAUGUGCCCUAUUCUUCCCAUAAUCCAGCAAACACCUAUUAAUUAACUGGAGGGGGAAAAAAAAGAGAAUUGUAGGGGAAGUAUGAUGGGGCAGUAAAACAGUAGGUACCCUCACUGACCCCAGGGCAGUAUGUAAUCCACCGCAAAUCUCCUCCCAAAUUACAACAAUGGCUUGUAGAGGAGAGGAAGAAGAGAAACCCUAAAUUUUAUUCCUACUUCCAACAUCUGCUCCCUCUCCAUUGUUGGGUGACCCGCCUAGAGUGGCUCUUGGUCUCCAUUCCUGCAGCAGGUUGGAAAAAAGAUUGUGUAAUGUCAGUCAAGUACCAAGCAAUUGAAAAGCAAGUGGUAUUAUUCAUCUGGAAAUUGACCUAGCUAGUCUUUGUCUCGGCUGCUAGAGCUAAUUUCAUUCACAGGUGCCAUGUUAUUUACUGAUUUAACCAUCUCCUUCAGUACCACUUCUCAGCAUUGCACUUUGAAGUAAAAUAAUGUUCUUGUGUGUGUGUCUUGAUUACACAUGUCACCGGAGACAGAAAUGAAGGUUUAAAAUUUCCUGCUAGGUGUUUGCUCUUCCUGGCUCGGAUCCGGCACGGCUGCCGGCUAUCAGGUUCCAUACACCAGCUGUGGUGUGGUGAGUGGGGGGCAGGGACUAGAACAGAAGCUCCCUCGUUCAUUCAACAAACAUUCUGUCGUAGGAUGGGUUCUCAAGGAAGCAGAUCCCAAGUCAAGGACUUGAGAGCAAGUCCUUUACUGGAGAACCAAAGAAAAUGACAGUUGUGAGGUGAGGAAGUAAGACAAAGAAAGGAAGGCAGUCAAUCAAGGGUGCAUUGUUGGGUCAUCUGGGAAAUUUGGGAUCUGGGGUAGAACACAUGCCUCAGAGUUAUCUGACCCAAGCGCUGAAGGAACUGGGAUAUUUGUACAUCAACUCCCAUUAAUCAUUGACUGAGAACUGCUCCCGGGGAGCAUGAAUUCCCUGGAAGUUCAGCCCGGCUAUUGGAGUAGGCAAAGCAGGCUUUGGUGGCCAGAGAACGUGCUCAGCCAAAGG